rnacentral:lncRNA from 1 species
UUUUUUUUUUUUUUGUAUUCAAACGUUUAAGCAAUUUAAUAUAUAUGUAGUUAAAUAUUUAAUUUACUAAUGAUGAUAUUUUAUUAAUAAAUAAAAUUAAAAUUAAUUAAAAUACACUACGGAUAACAUGCAAAAGUAAAAUAAAAUUUCUUCACUUGCUUUCCCUUCCUUGUAUCAAGAAGCACGAACGAGAUGCCAUUAUCAAGCCUACAACAAGCCAAAACAGAUAUGAAUGAAGGACUUUGAUAUGACAAUUCUUAAAAGUAAUCGUACAUAUUUUGUUGACAAUUGAAAUGAUUUGUGAUAAAUUACAAGUACGAUGUCUGCUUUCCAGCUGUUCAGUUCGUUGAUAUGAAAAUGGCAGCAUGGAUGCCUCCUGGCGCAUAUCCUAAUGCCGUCAGAGCUACAUUUACACAGAAAUUGGCCUGUAAUUAUCUCAAAAAGAAAAAAAAAAAAAAGGAGUCAGCUCUUAAUUUCUAUUAAUUUUCUAUUAAUUUCUAUUGCUUCAGUAAAAUUAUAUGUUACCCGGUUCUGAAUUCAUACCCUGUUGGAUAUAAAUAUCUUGUAAAAUUUUAAAUUGAAGUGAUUGAUGAAUUUGGUUUGUACAUAAAUUUAAGUUUGAAAGAAAUAGAACAGAAUCAAGGGAGAGACUGACCGUGCACCCCCCCUUCCCUUUUAUAUACCCCAACUGGGGGCACCAAGAUUGCCAGGAUCAAAUCAAGACAGUCUGGUCCCUUCUUCUCUUGCCCGCUUGUAUCUUGGCGGCUAAAGCAUAUGCAUUUGAUGCAGAGACACAUGUUAAUAUGUGGUUGAAGAUCGUUAUCAAAGAGCUGCAGUUGUUUGUUAGGAAGAUGGACUCUACAACUUGCUUUUAUAGAAUUCAAGAUGCUAUGAAAAAAAGUGACAUUUCAGCCAAAAAAAGGAAAAAAAGAUAAUCAAUUUAGCGAAAGAUUGCACUUCACGACACUGUUGUAUCACAUGAAUGGAAUAAGUUCAAUAGGUGACAUCGGCAAGCUGUUUUCAUGGUGCUGAUUUCACGGAUGGUCAGGUGUUUAUCCAGCCCCUUUUCCAGUUAAUUUCCACAAAGAC